rnacentral:rRNA from 1 species
GUGGGGAAUAUUGGGCAAUGGACGCAAGUCUGACCCAGCAACGCCGCGUGAAGGAAGAAGGCUUUCGGGUUGUAAACUUCUUUUGUCAGGGAAGAGCAGAAGACGGUACCUGACGAAUAAGCCACGGCUAACUACGUGCCAGCAGCCGCGGUAAUACGUAGGUGGCAAGCGUUGUCCGGAUUUACUGGGUGUAAAGGGCGUGUAGCCGGGGAGACAAGUCAGAUGUGAAAUCUGGAGGCUCAACCUCCAAACUGCAUUUGAAACUGUUUCUCUUGAGUAUCGGAGAGGUAAUCGGAAUUCCUAGUGUAGCGGUGAAAUGCGUAGAUAUUAGGAAGAACACCAGUGGCGAAGGCGGAUUACUGGACGACAACUGACGGUGAGGCGCGAAAGCGUGGGGAGCAAACAGGAUUAGAAACCCCAGUAGUCC